GAUGAAGAACGCAGUGAAAUGCGAUAAGUAAUGUGAAUUGCAGAAUUCAGUGAAUCAUCGAAUCUUUGAACGCACAUUGCGCCCGCCAGUAUUCUGGCGGGCAUGCCUGUUCGAGCGUCAUUUCAACCAUCAAGCCCCCGGCUUGUGUUGGGGACCUGCGGCUGCCGCAGGCCCUGAAAACCAGUGGCGGGCUCGCUGUCACACCGAGCGUAGUAGAUUUUCAUCUCGCUCAGGGCGUGCUGCGGGUUCCGGCCGUAAAAAGCCUUAUUUACCCAAGGUUGACCUCGGAUCAGGUAGGAAGACCCGCUGAACUUAAGCAUAUCAAUAGCGGAGGA
rnacentral:misc_RNA from 1 species